UUGUUGAUUUCCUUCUCCAUUUUCUUCUUCUCAUUUUGUUAUUUUGUUAUCUUUGCUUUCGACGAUCCACCUUUCAAUUGUCGUUAGCCUCUCUUCUGCCCGUCGCUUAGCUUCCGUUUCCUCCCCUGUCAUGCUGGACUCUCCUUCCUCCGCUGUCUAUAUCUUCAACCAGUAGUACAGAAAGAAGAAAUGAUGUAGAAGGUCUAACGAAAGCAGCACAACAACAGAAACCAAACAAAUGGAAAAAAGACAUAUCUAAUAGUCAGUUAAUCAUGUGAUCAUUUUGUUUAACCAAAAUAGGAACUUUUUUUUUGACAAGUUGAUUUGCUUAUGGUGUUCCCUUUUGAUUAGUUUAUUGUCUCUUUUACUUAAAGAACUGUUGUUGUUAUGUAUA